rnacentral:rRNA from 2 species
GCAGAGAGGUCACACCCGUUCCCAUACCGAACACGGAAGUUAAGCUCUCUAGCGCCGAUGGUAGUUGGGACCUUGUCCCUGUGAGAGUAGGACGUCGCCAAGCU